rnacentral:tRNA from 1 species
GGAGAGGUGGCAGAGCGGUUGAAUGCACUCGCUUGGAAAGCGAGCAUACUGUAAAAGGUAUCGGGAGUUCGAAUCUCCCCCUCUCCG